CACUGUCAAAGAGCUGUGGAAUAAUAUAUACAUGCACAUGAUUGAGGGAACAAGAAAAGCAAAAAAAAGAAAAGAUAAAUCAUAAUAUUGAGGAGAAACCUUAGCCUUUUGCUUGGUGCGAAAGAUGGAUAUGGGAGAGGAUGGAUAGAUCUUCCUAUGCUUGGUAAAAUUAAUAUGGAGGAGAAGCAUACUGGUACAAACCCGAUUCAGAAGAUGCUACGAACUCGGAUAGUAUCCAAGGAUCAGAGAGAUGCCGAUUACUUCAAGAGGAUCAGAGGCCUCCAUUGAUCACUUUUAGGGGAUCAAACCUCCAG
rnacentral:lncRNA from 1 species